CGCCCCCCCUCCCCCCCCCCAAAUCGCCUCCAUCUCUCUCUUUGCAACUCCCCAAUCGCCUCCAUCUCUAUUUUCGUUCUCAAUUCUAAACUUGCCCCCUCUCUCUCUCUCUCUGCAACUCCCCAAUCGCCUCCAUCUCUAUUCUCGGUCUCAACUCUGAACUUGCCCCCUCUCUCUCUCUGCAACUCCCCUAUCGCGCGCCUCCAUCUCUGUUCUCGUUCUCAACUUUAAACUUGCCCCCUCUCUAUCUCUGCAACUCCCCAAUUGCCUCCAUCUCUAUUGUCUUUUCUCAACUCUGAACUUCCCCCCCCUGCAACUGCUAACUAGAAAAUCUACAAGAAUCAGAAGUUCAAAACCCAUAUAUUUCAGUUUAUCUAUCUGUCUGCACGAAUCAAAAGUUCAAAACCUAUUAUCUAAUCAAAACCUAUAUCUGAUAUGCCAGAUUGUUCAAAAAAUCAAAACCCAUAUCUUUCAGUUUCCAUCGCCCGCUGUUCCAGUUCAGGUUCGCCGUUCGCAAGUGAGGAAGAAGCAAGGAUGAAAAUCUACUCCGUCUCAACUAGACACUAUUAUGCAUUUGGAGCCCUUGUAUCUGAAGAACUUUCAUACAAGAUCAAAGGAACUUCAUGUACUUGAUGUUUGGUUUCUGCUAUUGUUUAUUGAAAUUGGGAUUUCUAAGCAUUGGUGUUUGCGCAUUUACUUGUUGAUCCGCUACAGAUCGAUACUGAUGGUUAGUGUUGCAGUUGCAUUGCGGGAGAUUGGUUACAAAGUUGUGCUGAGUUCCUCUCUCUCCCCUCUUUCUCUCUCUAACAAUCUCCAGCCGCCAUCCUCAACUUCUUCAAACCAUAACCAUUAUCUAAUACAAUAAUUACCAAAAUCCAAACGUCCAAAACGAAAAGUGAUGAAAAAACACAUACCUAUGGGCAUGAAUCACACCCAAUUACGCAAAAUUACACGCACAAAAUCUUCAAAUUUUAAGAAUUACCCAAAAACCAAGUUCAGUCCGGUGAAGUCCACUCCAGUUCCCCUCCUUGCAGCAUCACGCCGAACAGACCCACAUAAUCCAAACAGUACGAAAAGUGAUGAAAAAACACAUACCUAUGGGCAUGAAUCACAUCCAAUUAGGCAAAAUUACACACAAGCACAAAAUCUUCAAAUUUUAAGAAUUACCCAAAAACCAAGUUCAGUCCGGUGAAGUCCACUCCAGUUCCCCUCCUUGCAGCAUCACGCCGAACAGACCCACAUCCCGCCGGCCUUGCAUCCUUCUUGCUCGCCAUCAUCCUCGCCGCCAUCCUCAUGUUCGCCGGUCACAUCCCAUCUCUUGGCAGAUUUCGUCCCUGUGGUUGAUACUAAAGGUAGAAAUGCAUUGCCUCUUGUAAAACCUGGUUGACCUCCUCAUGAUCUCCAUCUCUUCUCUUUCGUUGUCUGUUGGAGCAUUUCUCCAUAUUGGAAGCUUGAAUUGGUUGUCCAGAAGUUUAAGUUUAGCCAGCUACGCAGGUUUGAAACACUCUUCAAUGAAAAUAAUAUAUCUUCUUAUUUGUGCAAGUAUUGAUCCAUCUCUUCAAUGAAAAGCAACAACAAAUAAAGUGACCAACCAAUAAAAUAUGAAAUUUCUUUUUUCAGAAAUUGAAUAUGAAUAUCUUUCCAUACAUGAUAAAAACAAUUAUUAAGAUGUGAAACUAACACAAAAUUAAAAUGCAUUUGAAGAGGCAUACCUCCAUUUUUUCCCCUACUCCACUCAUUCCCAUCA